GAAAUGCGAUAAGUAAUGUGAAUUGCAGAAUUCAGUGAAUCAUCGAAUCUUUGAACGCACAUUGCGCCCGCCAGUAUUCUGGCGGGCAUGCCUGUUCGAGCGUCAUUUCAACCAUCAAGCCCCCGGCCUGUGUUGGGGACCUGCGGCUGCCCGCAGGCCCUGAAAAACAGUGGCGGGCUCGCUGUCACACCGAGCGUAGUAGCAUACAUUCUCGCUCAGGGCGUGCUGCGGGUUCCGGCCGUUAAACGACCUUCAUAACCCAAGGUUGACCUCGGAUCAGGUAGGAAGACCCGCUGAACUUAAGC
rnacentral:misc_RNA from 1 species